UCAACCAACUUGAAAAUAUUGUCAUAUUGUAAUAUAUGACAAAACUAUCUUAAUUUUACUGGUAAUUAUCAACAAAUAAAUGAAAAAAUAUUAUGUCACUAGACUAAUAGACUAUAUUCAAACUACUUAACUAAAUUCUUUUAGUAACAACCGUGAAUGUUAUCAUUAAUAAUAAAUAAAUAAAUAAAUAAAUAAUUAAUGUACCUAGAGCACCUAAUCCUACAACCACCUUCUAAAAAGGGAGAAGUGAAACUUACGCCUCAAGACAGUCACUAAUUACAUUAGUAAACUUUGCACAACACAUCUACACAUGCAUUUUCUUAGAAAAUUUAAGUAAAUAUUUGCUACUAUUUCCUUCUUAAUCUGUGUGACUGCCACCUCCGUAUGCACAUUUACGAUCCUUUAAAUAAUUUCCAAUUCCUAGCUCUCCAUAUAUGAUAGAUCAUAGCCCCUCGCCAGAAAUUGCAGUUAUCACAUCCUUCUUGAAUUACUUUGAACGCUUCCUUUUGAUUCUGCCUAAGACUUGCAUCACCAACUUGCAUUUGAAUUCCAGCUCAUUGCAUAAGGGGUUCCCUGGCAGUUUGAGCCCAAGUGCAAUCCACAAAUAGGUCUUGAUUAGUUUCCAGUUCCUGAUUAGUUUCCAGUUCCUGAGUAUCAUAUAAGCAACAUGUCAUAUUUUUCACAUGAAUAUGUAACUUGAGUAAUCUCUAAUUCCUAAGCAACCUUCAUUGAACAACCAACCAUAUUAUAUAUAAAUCUAUAUUUUGGUUGAGCUACUCCACUCCAGAUGGGUUCACUAAUCUCUAGCCUUCUUUAGGUCACAAUAAUGGCAAUUUAACUUGUUGUGACACCAAGUGCUAAGAAGAGAAAGACUUCUAAGAAGAAGUUCACUGCAAAGUCUGUUGAUACAGAAAGCUCUCGCUUGGCAAAAAGAACCAGGUCUGCCAGAAAAUCAAGAAAAGUGCAAAUAGUGGAAGAAGAUAGUGAAGAGGAAGAGGAGACUUAUGGAGAAAAAGACAAGAUGGUUAACUUUGAAAAAAAAACAAUUUUGAAGGGGAGGCUUCUCAAAGAUUUGGAAGAGGAAGGAAGGACAUGGUCCUUCAGUUGGAAGGAAGGUUAGCCCGAGCUGAAAUUGUGGAAUUCUUUGCAAAUUGUGAGACAGAGAAUGGAAGGGUAAACAGUGUGGUGAAAGAAGUGAAGGUGAGCUUUAAUGAUAAUGAGCUAGGGGAGAUUCUAAAGAUACCUGUUGAAAGCUAAAUAAGCAACAUGUCAUAUCGUUCACAUGAAUAUGUAACUUGAGUAAUCUCUGCUUCCUAAGCAGCCUUCAUUGAAGGCCAACCGUACUAUAUAUAAAUCUAUAUUUUAGUUGAGCUAUUCCACUCUAUAUGAGUUCAGCAAUCUCUAGCCUUCUUUAGGUCCCAAGAAUGGCAAUUUAACUUCUUGUGACUUCAACUGCUAAGAAGAGAAUACUUCUAAGAAGCCCCCUGCAAAUUUUGUUAUACAGAAAGCUCUGGCUUGGCAAAAAGAACCAGGUCUACCAGAAAAUCAAGAAAAGUGCAAAUAGUGGAAGAAGAGAGUGAAGAGGAAGUGGAGACUGAUGAAUAAAAGGACAAAAUGGUUAAGUUUGGAAAAAGAACAAUUCUGAAGGGGAGGCUCCUCACAGAUUUGGAAAAGGGAGCAAGGACAUGGUCCUUUAGUUGGAAGGAAGAUUAGUCCGAGCUAAAAUUGUGGAAUUCUUUACAAAUUGUGAGAUAGAGAAUAGAAGGGUAAACAAUAUGGUAAAAGGACUGAAGGUGAGCUUUGAUGAUAAUGAGCUAGGGGAGAUUCUAAGAAUACCUGUUGAAGGCUACAUAAGCAACAUGUCAUAUUUUUCACAUGAAUUUGUAACUUGAGUAAUCUGUAGUUACUAAACAGCCUUCAUUGUACAACCAACCAUACUAUAUAUAAAUCUAUAUUUUGGUUGAGCUACUCCAGUCCAGAUGAGUUGAACAAUCUCUAGCCAUCUUUGAGACCCAAUAAUGGCAAUUUAACUUCGUGACUCCAAAUGCUAAGAAGAGAAAGAUUUCUAAGAAGAAGAUCCCUACAAAGUCUAUUGAUACAGAAAGCUCUGGCUUGGCAAAAAGAACCAGGUCUGUCAGGAAAUCAAAAAAAGUGCAAAUAGUGGAAGAGAGUGAAGAGGAAGAGGAGAUUGAUGAAGAAAAGGACAAGAUUGUUAGGUUUGGAAAAAGAACAAUUCUCAAGGGGAGAGUCCUCAAAGGUUUGGAAGAGGAUGGAAGGGUCCUUCAGUUGGAAGAAAGGUUAAUCUGAGCUGAAAUUGUGGAAUUCCUUGUAGAUUGGGAGAUAGAGAAUGGAAAGGUAAACAAUGCGGUGAAAGGGGUGAAGGUGAGGUUUGAUGAUAAUCAACUAGGGGAGAUUCUAAGGAAACCUGUUGAAGGCUACAUAAGCAACAUGUCAUAUUUUUCACAUGAAUAUGUAACUUGAGUAAUCUCUACUUCCUAAGAAGCUUUCAUUGAACAACCAACCAUACUAUAUAUAAAUCUAUAUUUUGGUUGAGCUACUCCACUCAAGAUGAGUUCAACAAUCUCUAGCCUUCUUUGGGUGCCUAUAAUGGCAAUUUAACUUCUUCUGCCUCCAAGUGCUAAGAAGAAAAAGACUUCUCAGAAGAAGUCCUCUGCAAAGUUUGUUGAUACAGAACGCUUUGGCUUGCCAAAAAGAACCAGUUCUACCAGGAAAUCAUGAAAAGUGCAAAUAGUAGAAGAAGAUAGUGAAGAGGAAGAAGAUACUGAUGAAGAAAAGGACAUGUGGUUAGGUUUGGAAAAAGAACAAUUCUAAAGGGAGGGUCCUCAAAGAUUUGGAAGAGGAAGUAAGGACAUGGUCCUUCAGCUGGAAGGAAGGUUAGCCCGAGCUAAAAUUGUGGAAUUUCUUGUAAAUUGUGAGAUAGAUAAUGAAAGGGUAAACAAUGUGGUGAAAGGUGUGAAGGUGAGAUUUGAUGAUAAUGAGCUAGAGGAGAUUCUAAGGAUACCUGUUGAAGGCUACAUAAGCAACAUGUCAUAUUUUUCACAUAAAUAUGUAAUCUCUACUUCCUAAGCAGCCUUCAUUGAACAACUGAUCAUACUAUAUAUAAAUCUAUAUUUUGGUUAAGCUACUCUACUCCAGAUGCGUUCAGCAAUCUCUAGCCUUCUUUGGGUCUCAAUAACUGCAAUUUAACUUGUUGUGACUACAAGUGCUAAGAAAAGAAAGAUUUCUAAGAAGAAGUCCCCUGAAAAUUCCGUUGAUACAGAAAGCUCUGCCUUGGUAAAAAGAACCAGGUCUGCCAGAAAAUCAAGAAAAGUGCAAAUAGUGGAAGAAGAGGGUGAAGAGGAAGAGGAGACUGAUGAAGAAAAGAACAAGAUGGUGAAGUUUGAAAAAAGAACAAUUCUGAAGGGGAGGCUCCUCAAAGAUUUGGAAGAGGAAGGAAGGACAUGGUCCCUCAGUUGGAAGGAAUGUUAGCCCUAAAAAGUUUAAGAUAGAGAAUGAAAGAGUAAAUAGUGUGGUGAAAUGAGUAAAAGGUGAAGUUUGAUGAUAAUGAGCUAGGGGAGAUUCUAAGGAUACAUGUUGAAGGCUACAUAAGCAACAUGUCAUAUGUUUCACAUGAAUAUGUAACUUGAGUAACCUCUACUUCCUAAGCAGCCUUCAUUGAACAACCAACCAUACUAUAUAUAAAUACUAGAUAUCCCGUGCAUGUGUUGUGCACGGGCCUAACACGACCAUAAGCCUAACACCACUGCACAAAAUAGGUCCGAGAGUAAGAAAGAUAAUUUCAUACUUGUGUAGUAAGAUUACCCCCGAAAAAUAAAAUGACGAAGCAAUACCAUCCGUUGACUAAAUAUUACAACAUAAUACACCACAUUCAUUUGUUUAGCUUCAUUAGUCCAAUUGCAUUUUUAGCUUGCUUCUAUGAGAAUGAGAAAGAUAAAAACAAUCAGAUAAAUCGUGUUCAUGUUGGUAGUCCCACUAAUACAAAAUAUUGGAUAAAAUUUGGACAGUUGCAGUUGACAACAAAUACUUCAUCUUAUAUCCACCUAAAGAAAAGAAAAUCAAGCAUUAGUAUUAUUGGUAAGACUUACAUAUGGUAGUAUAACAAUCAUAAAAUUCAGCUAGUUUGCAUAUUCAGCAAAACAAUCAUAAAUUCAUUAAUUUUGGAGGAAAAAGAGGGGCAUAAAAUAUCAGCAUGGACUAAGAGGAGAAAGAAAAGAUUCAGACACGGUAGACCUAUUGAAAUGCCCCCAUCAAAGGCAUGUUCUAAAUCUGAAUUGGGUCUCUUCUUUUUAGCAAUCUAUAGCUAGGCAUUAAAUAAUGAUUUACAACCUUGGAGGACCUAUUUAGGGAUAUGAACCUUUAACCUAUUUCAUUGGAGGAGACUAUCUUCAUUGAUUUUGGUAUUGAUGUAAUAACUGAAAAGUGAUACACACCAAAUUUAAAAUAGAAAAUCUGCAAUAGAAGCACUACCAGUAAAUCACAAUUCACAACCAUACUCGCAUAUUCUGUGACUUAGGAGAGAUCAUGUAGUGGUAUUUCUAUUUCAAUCACCUGACCCUACUCUAUUCAUGAGAACAACUGCUAUCUAUGUUGAAUGAAUGCGUCCAGGUUACUACAAAAAUUUCUAGACAAAUUCUAACUUCUGCAAAUACUACUUCAAUUGCCUUAUUUCUAUUAUAUACUUACAAGCAACGACCAUCUCAUCAUGACCAUCUAUCGAAGAGAUGCACCAAAAAGAUCUGAAAAACAUAAAGCAGAUAAACGAACCUUCAAAAUAUAAGUUUUGAGUAGUAUUUAAACACAUGUUAAAGGAUACAAUGAAAAGAAGCAUAUUGCCAACGACAAGUCUGUUUUUUCAUUUCCUUGCAAAACUUACUAAUGACAAACUAAGUGAAUGUGUGGGCUAAAGAUGUUGCAACCUGAUCAUUCUAGAUAUGUCCAUGUUAUUGUCCUUGGUGGGGCUUCAGUGAGAGUUCAUCAUUUAUAAUUUGCUGCUUUUGAGGCUAGUGAAAAAUAUUCAACAUGUUGUGCGAGAGAUUUGGAAACAACAGUUAUCACUUAUCACAUGCCAUCAGUUCUUGCUCGAUCCUUAUCUAUAUGAAAUAAAGCGUGCGUCUAUACCGAUAAGUAGAUAUUGAUUGAUCUCAACUAAUCAAGGGGAAAAUGUUUGAUAUUUUGGUCAAUUCAAAAUAUCAUAAUAAAAAUACCCCCGUACCCUGACAACUUAAAAAAAGUGAAAAGAAGAAAGGAAUGUUGAGGCUAGGAAUGAAGUGCAAAGAGAAAACUGGAGAAAUAAAACUCACAUGCAGACAUCCACUAAUCAAACAAAUCAAAUGCUCAAAAAACAAAAUCAGAGAACAUAGCUUACCAAUUAAUACAAUCGCAGCACACCAGAUUGAUCGGCAAAGGACUGUCAAUCCAACUAAAGAAGAUACUAUCAUGUGACAGAAGCAUUAUUCAAAGUUCAAACUUGCCGCAAUUAUUACUCCCACCGUUCCAGUUUAUGUAAACCUAGCUAUUUCCUUUUUGGUCCGUUCCAAAAAGAAUGACCCCUUUCUAAAUUUGGAAACAAUUUAGCUUAAACUUCCAAUUCUACCCUUAAUGAGAAGCUUUUAUAACCACACAAAUACUCUGGUCCCCAUUUUGACUUGUUUAGGACCACAAAUUCUAAAAAAGUCAUCAUUUUUUCUUAAACUCCGUGAUCAGUCAAACAUGUUCACAUAAAUUGGAACAGAGGGAGUAUUAUUGAAAAAAAUGGAAGGGAAGGAAAAGAUAAAGCUGUAAUUUUGAUUACUUUUGCUCCACGCGUAUAGUAGUCACCGGAACAUCUAUGUACAAGAUAAAAAGUCAUAAGCAAGCUGCGGUAAGGACUUUAUUUUCCUGCAAAACAAUUGUUGAUGUAUAGAAAAACAUGUUACUAAUUUAUAUGAGGGAAUCAAUUAGGAUAUUUGCGAACGAACAUUUAAACUUGUUGCUAAAUUUUUAUGUUUGAGUAGCUUAGUAACUUUUAUUCUCUGUGUAAAAGCAUAGGAGUUAGCAGGACUUCAGAAUAUGCAAGCAUUUGAACUAUCUCGGAGGAGUUGAUUGAAAUAUUUCAAGAAUUUCUCAAGGAUUAAUCUUCAUUUCCUGCACAUACUCUAGUCCCUCUCGAGAUAGUAAUUCUGGGGUUUUCACAUUAUAAAAUGACAUAAAGAUGAUCUCCGAAUGAUCUUCUUAGCUGCUACUUGAUUUUCAAAUGUAUCAACCAAAUCAGACAACCCAAUGAAUGAAAGCUCUUAAUCUUCAUUAUACUCCAGCAUAGAGCGAUAAUGUCUCAAAUUCUAGAGUAAUCUUAAUAUCUCGUUCUGAACACUUAUGUCAUUUGAGUAUCAAAUAAAUCUCAGUUGUAACCUAAAAGCAACAACCAUAAAUUCCAGCUUUGUUUCUUUGAUACUAUGUUGUAGAUUAGUUUUAUGGAGUUACAACCAACAAAUCAGAAGUAGAAAGAUUCAAAAAAUGACGAAGAAACAAUAAUAAUUCAACGAUGAUAGAUAAACAAAAUUGAUUGUCCUUGUAAUAUUGCAUAGAUCAGAGAGCUAUUGUUGAAAUGUGAGACCCGUUUGGCCAUAGAUCACUUUUGACACGGAACCAACCCCCAGAGGAAACAGAGGGACAACAACACAAAACUGCAGCACAUCCCUAUUUUUAUUUCUAAAGCAAGAAAGAACAACGACACUGCCACUCUUCAAUUAAUUUCUAAAUCAAUUCCCAAAUAGAAUUUCAGUGCACCUUUAUCAUCUCUCAACGCAAUUCUAAUGUGCAAAGUCGCCCAAACCUGUAGAAGUAAGAGGUUCUUACUCCCAUGUAGUCUAAAUACUUUUUUUCUUACUAUUUUCUUCAAUCCUUUAUCUUCUUUUUUAUAACAAGAAUAAGUACAACUAUAGAUUUGUUGCCUAACAUAAACUUUUCCUAAGCAUUCAUCCCACAAAUCAAAGUAGGCAAAUAACUUUAAGCUUUUCCUAAUCAUGUAUAUUCCAAUCAAUCAACCUCCAUUCCAUACAUCAUCCUAUUUCUUUGGAUGCUGUCAUAGCCAAAAAGAAGUGACAAAAUAAGACGGUAAACUUUCCUCUUCCAUUGUUAUCUUCGAGAAAUAGAGUAAGACAGUGGACACAUAGAAGGUUUGAAGAUGAAAUUUCAUAAAGAUACCCCACGCCCUAGAUCACUUUCAGCAUUCUAAAGAUGCCAAGUGAAUGUAGAAAUUUGAAAGUUCUAAAAGAUGGAUAUAUAUUCUUUGUUCCGAGUUGGCGAUUUUGGUGUUAUAGAUGUAGUUUAUUGUAAGGUCUGUAAUGUUAUUUGAAAAGUGUUCAUGACGGCUAGUAAGAUGAUAAAGCCCAUAAUACUGUAUGUAAUACCCGAAAGAAUUGUACUCUAGCUAGUUUGUUGAACAUACCAUCACAAUCUCGGUGUUGUUUGUAAUUAGAAAAUUUACCUUUUUAAUCAAAAGCAAUAUAAGGAGAAAAUAUGGUCAAAGUAUAGAAUCAGAUAUGCUGAGCACAUUUUUCCUGAAAUAAAAAGAACUCAAUUUAGUAAAAAUUUUGAUUCAUAUCUUCUCAAGCUCAACCUGAGACUAUACUUUCCUAAAGUCGGAAUAGGAUCGUUCUCCACUUCACGAGAUUUUAAAAAGAACAACUUAAUUUUGUAAAUACUUCAUUAAUCAUUUUUCCCAAAUAAAGUUUUUAAACAUAUAAAAUCUCUAUAAGAAGACAAAAGUGAAAGAACACAAGUAUUUUUCUUGGCUGUACAUUAAAAAUAAAAAGAAUGCAUUUGAAACAUUAGUUUGCUAAUUUCAGUACUGUUGAAGAAGCCUUGUAAAACAUUAAAUUCGGAUAGCCUAACAUACAAUUAUUUCUUGUUAGCUAAGAAGUCCUUUAAAGUAUGCAUCAACUACCGUCAACAGUCAGAUAAAUAUUACUUCUCAUUUAAUUCUAUCCUCUCAUGUCUACAGCAGUUUAGAAAAUCCACAAAAUUGUUUAGAUCCUGGGGCCAUCUUACAAUUACACCAAGAAUACACAAACUGCAAUGACUUGAAUUGAAUACAUGCUAAGGCCCAAUAAGUAUUUUGAAAAAAACUAUAGUUUCUUUCCACAUUGUGCAAAAAAAGCACGAAGGAACUUAUUACUGGAUGUCUUUGUGAAUGUAAUAGAAAAUCUCAUGAAUUAAGCAUAAAAAACCUUUUGUUCUUGGGGAUAAUUGCAUUUUUAAUGAGUUACUAAUAUUGAAAAGGGGAAGUAAGUAAAAGUAAACCAAAAUGUGCAGAACUUACCUGGUACAAGUGAAGCAAUAUUCCUUUCCCCACUUUCAGUUAACAACUUCCUUUAAGAAAAAUCUGAAAAAUCAAUAUUUUGGGACCAUUAUAUUCCUACUAAAUGAAUACAAAAAUAUUCGGUAAUAUCAAAAGUUCAUAUUUCAAACAAAACCCAAGUAAGCGAUACACUAUUCAGUUUAAUAGAGUCUCGUCAAAAAAUAAUAAAAUAGGAGUAAUAAUUUUGAAAAAGAAGAAGAUAAACCCAAUUAAAGAACAUUGUGUGAGAAAAAUAUUGUGCAUGAGUAAAUCAAACAUAUCUACUGACAUGUAUGUAUAACAUUCAAUAAAAUACUGCCCAAAAGUUCAAGAUGCCCAAAAAAUUAUAUUAAAAACAGGAUCCAAACACAUGCAUAGCCGAGAAAACAGAGGAAGAUGCAAAGAAGGUGUCCAAUUCCCUGCUUCUUAGUAGGAGAAACUGAUAGAUAAGUCACCAAAGAAACCCCAAAUUUUCCAUCUUUCAAUUUUCUUUUUCAAACUUUCAGUUCAUACACUUUGAAAACCUAAAUAGACACAAUUCAAUAAUGUAGCCACAUAAGACUCACCAAUCCUUGUAACAUUAAAAAAAUUAGAAAUGGUAAAAGAUAAAAGAUAAAAGAUAUUCUCCAUCUUCAUAAUAGCCAAAGGUAACACAUAAAUAUUAAAAAAAUGAACCCAGAUGGGACUAAAUCUAAAAACUGAGCAAAAUAUUAACAGGGGGAAGAAGAAAAAGGCAUCAGCAAGAGAAAGAGUCGGUGGAAGGGAAAUUGAGAAAUGUAGGAAAAAG
rnacentral:lncRNA from 1 species